rfam:Bacillus endophyticus strain Hbe603, complete genome.
AGAGUAGUAUCUAUAUGAACUACAUCUUUCACUCUUUUUUAUUGAAAAGAAAUACUAUUCUGCCUUGAUCCGGGCAUGGACUAGGACAGAGGA